UUUAAAUUGACAAAUAUAUAAAUUUUAAUUUUCUUCUUAAUAUUCAUCAUAUAUAUGAAAAUUUUAAAGUUAUUCAAAAAUUGGUGAGUUUUAUAAAACUUUUGAAGUUUCAAAAAUAUUAAAUCAUAAAUUAACCCUUAACAUAAAUUCCUAAACAGUAGGCUUAAACCUAAAUUAUAAAUUUUAAACCUUAAGCCAUUGAUGUCUAAUACACAAUUUUUUAUACUAUAAAACAGAAAUCAACACAACUAUAUGAACUGCAUGUGUUAUUAAUUUUUUUUCUAAAUUUUUUUUUAGAAGACGAAUAUUUAAGAUCAAAAGUGAAUUAUCUUUAUGUAUUUCAUUAUGAAAAAUUUCGUGCUUUAGGCAUGUGUCCUUUUGUUUUGUGGUGACUUUGUUCUUCCGAUGAUUAUUCAUUCUCUGGCCCGCUUUUUUGGUUUUUGUCUCAUAUUUUAUCUUUUACCUUUUUCUGACAUCUACUAGUUCUAACCAAAACAUUCUAUGGUAAGAUGAGAUAGGUUAGUCUUCUUUGUUAAUCUUUUUUUAGCUCCAAACCUUUAUUGAGUUAGUGUUACUAUGCUAAGAUAGAUAGGUUAUGUUAUUAAAUAUGUAAAAUAUAUUUUUAUUUUUUCAUUUUUUUUAUUUAUUCAUCUUGAAUUUUAGUAAACAAUAAAAUAGAUUAUCAAACUUCAUACGAUAAUAGUUAGUGCGAAAAUGAUUAGACAGUUCACGAUUAGAAAGUACUUGACCAAAUUGUAAUAAUCUAAAAGAAAAAAGACCUAGAAUGUAAAAAAAACAUGGAUGACACGUGUCGCAAAAACUCCCUGCCACUUAUCAGAAGAAGGAAAAAAAAACCAACUUUAUAUAUACAGAUUGCCAAAACAAAACAAAGAAUAAAGUAAAAAAAGAAUAAGCUUUUGUCGUUCAGUUAGAAGAAUAGACAUUUUCAACUAUCUCUUUCUUCAAUUUUCUUUUCAAGGAAAAUAAGAUCCGACUAUCAAUAUGGAGAAAUAUGCAGAGGAUCUAAUCAAAUGGUGUCUCACCGGAGUUAUCAGCUCGUAAAGGAGAAGCAUGUCGACACCCAUGAGUUGGCCGCCUUUCUUAACAGUUCUUGCUUCCCAGAAUCCGAGGAGACAGACCUCGGCGAUGUUUGAACAUCAUUCAGCUUUCAAAUCGGAUUUUAAUUGGAUUCGGGAUUAGGGUUUCUAUGUGAUGAUAAAAGUCUUGGCUUUUCAGUGAUCCUAUGCGGCUGCGGCUUGAUCCCCAAUAAGGAAACGUCUAGUGGAAAAAUAUGCAGCAAUCAUUGAAGGAUGGAGCAAAACGAUUCAGUAGCUGAUGAAAAGUUGGGAAAUUGAGCGUUGAGACCCAGUAGUGUUCUCAGUUUUGACAGUCCUGUUCUUGCCCAUGAUUUGCUUCUUCUUUAUAGGGAGACCCAAUGGCGUUCUCAGUUUUGACAGUCCUGGUCCAUUGCAUUGUACCCAGUCUGUGUUGUACCGAGUAUUGGUCUUCAUCUAAAUUCCAUUUUAAUCUCCACAAAGGACUGUGAAAGUUGCUGUCCAAGAGAUGAGGUGACUUCAAGCUCUUGGGAUUCAAGUUGCUCACUAUCCUGGAAAUCAAGUGCUGAUCGCUUAUCCUGAACUCAUUGAUGCUGCAGUGAUCUCGUAAGUCUUUUGUACCUGAAACAAUUUUAAGUUAACAUUUUGGUUUAGCUUGGUUGUGAUUUACGUCAUAAAGCCCAAAACGGUUUUGAUGAGCAAACAUUGUUUUUUAGUACUUGCAAGAAAAUGAAGCCAGGAUCAUAUCGUGCAGAAUUGGUUAAAACAGCAAAGUUAAUCGUAUGGAAUGAUAUUAUUAGAUCUUCUUAAGAAAAAUCUUUUGGGGGUAAAGUUUUUGUUUUCGGUGGCGAUUUCAGACAGAUAUUAUCGGUUAUACCUGGAGGAGGUAGAGCAGAGACUGUUUUGGCCACUGAAUUGGUCAUAUCUUUGGGAGCACUGCAAAGUUUUAAAGCUAGCAAAAAACAUGAGAUUGCUUGCUGGUCUUGCUGAUGAUGCAGCAAAAGACCUCGAGUCUUUCUCAGAAUGGAUUUUGGAUAUUGGAGAUGGAAAAAUAAAUUUGCCUAAUGAUGGUCAAGUUGAGAUAGACAUCCCUUUGGAUAUGCUGAUAAAAAAAAACAGUGUAGAAGAAGAUCCUACUGAAACUAUCGCAAAAGAGGUCAACAUAUAAGGAUUUGUAUAGACAUCGAGCCAUUACGAUUCCCACAAAUGAUGAACUGGAUAAAAUCAAUGAUUACAUGCUUUCGCAGUUGCCAGGUGAAGAGAAGGUUUACCUUAGCUCUGACAGCAUUAUUCCAUCUGAUGUUGACAUAGAAGAAAAUGUGGUAUAUCCUACAUAGUUUUGAACAGUGUUAAAGUCGCUGCAUUUCCUAGACACUGUUUAAAGCUCAAAGUUGGUGCUCCUAUCAUGUGUCUUCGUAACAUGGAUGCUGCAGAUGGCUUAUGUAAUGGUACUAAGCUAAUUGUUACUCAGAUAUUUCCCAAUGUGAUACAAUGUAAAAUUAUAACGGGAAACGAUAUUGCCGGAAAGGAUGUUUGGAUCCCGAGAAUGUUUGUCACACCACCUGACACAAAGUUUUUCUUUAGAAUGCGUCAAAGACAGUUUCCAGUUACGUUGGCUUUCGCGAUGACCAUCAAUAAAAGUCAAGGUUAAACGCUGCAAAAUGUUGGUUUGUUUCUAUCUAGACCAGUGUUCUCUCAUGGCCAAUUAUACGUUGCACUUUUUAGAGUGAGGUCGAUGUCUGGAUUAAAAAUCCUAAUAACAGAUAAACAAGGGAAGCCGCAUAUAAAAACAAUGAAUGUUGUCUACAAACAAGUUUUUCAAAAUAUUUCAUAGUCAACAGUAAGUAAUUUUGACCUAUGUUGUAUUCGCUAAAAAGUUAAAAUUGAUAAAUUCUUAGAUUUAUUUAUUUCAUCUAUUAAUAGAUAAAUAACAGAGACAAAAGAUCGAUUUGACUACCAACCAGUUUUCAGACUAUUUCGAUAAUGAUAUGUGAAUUUAAUAUUAUUUUAUAUUCAAUAAAAUUUAGAAAUUUAGAAAUCAAUCAAAUUAUUUUAUAAUGUACUACUGCUUACAAAAUUUAAUAUAUUUUUUUGCAGGUUUCUAUUGCCUUUUUUUAAAUGGAGAAUUAUACUUCUUAAUUUAUAUUACUUAUAAAUUAUAUUUCACAAUUUUUAUCAUAUUUUUUAAUAUGUCAUUUUUUAACAAAAAUAUAAGAACAUAAAUAUAAUAUGUAAACUUAAAAUAUACCAUUACAGCAUAUAUACAACACAAAUUUCACUUUGUGAUAAUCUAAAAUUUGUAACUUCUAAAACUAUACACUAUUAUGUUUUUUCAUAUUUUGAAUAUUUUUAUGCCUGCACAAUCACUUAGUUGAAGUUGCUUGGGAAGAAGAAAACUUACACGCUUCGGUAAGCAUUGUUUAUUACUCUCUUUUUUUUAAUUGUGGAUAUAUAUUUAAUAUUUAUAUCAGUUGACUUUCUUCCAUAAACUGGCAGACAAAAUAUCUUAUUAUAUAAAGAAGAACUUUUCUCUCCUCUAAAAUUGCCAGCUCAGUAAUUAGACUUCUCUACGUGUGACCAGGGGCGGACCUAGAAAUUUAAUUAGACUGUGGCACAUAUAUAUUUUAAUUUAUAAUGAAUAAAAUAAUUAAUAUAAUAUAAAUAUUAAAAUCAAACUGAAAUAGUUUAUCACCAUAUCGUUAGUCACUUCGUCAAAGUGCUCUUUUUCAGUAUAGCAAACCAUGCAAUCGUUCAGAAAUUCAUCAUCCAUUCGGUCGCGCAAGGUAGUUUUCACAAUUUUCAUCGCAGAAAAAGAUCUCUCGACUGUAGCGGUGGUAACAGGUAGAGUCAAAACUAGCUUCAAAAGUCGAUAAACAAGAGGAUGUGAAAUAUGUUUUUUUGGUGUCCACCAUCACACGUGCAAGAUUUCCAAGACCCUCCAAAUUAGCAAACCUUUGAUCUUCAGAGAUAUUAUCGAUGUAAAUACCAAGUUGAUGCCCAAGAGAUAUUCGUUCUAUAGAACUAAAAUCUUCAGGAUAAAACUCUGACAACCGUACAAGUUUUGAUUGAUCAAACUGGUGGAAUGAAUCAGUGGGGCUCAAAGAUGCAGUACAACCAAGCAAUUCAGUAUUUACUCGUCAAAACGAUCAUUGAACUCUUGAAUCUGCAUAUCCAAUACAGUGUAAAAACAUUCAACUUGAUAAUGAUGCAAGUUUGUUAUGUUGCUUCUUUGUCUUGGCCUCUUUGGAUUAACAAAUUCUUCUUCCAUAAUAAAUAACUCUGUGUUAUUAUUCUUGCAAAAAGAGUUCACCUUUCCAAUGAUUGAAUCCCAUCCAUUUUCUCUGAGCUUGCAUAAUUGUUGCUUGGUAGAUUUCACUAGAGACAUUGCAUUCAAGAUGUCCUGAUCUUUUCUUUGUAAAGCCUUUGAUAGAUUAUGUGUGAGACCAAGAAGAAGCAACAUCAACUGUAAGUAGAACACAAAAUCGAACGUGUGAAAGUAUUUGAGAAGACCAUUAGCUUGCAUCUUUUGAUACCAUCUGACCCAUCACUUUCGACAUACUCAAGCACUUUAAUGAUGGAAGUGAAUAAAUCAGCCAAUCUCAAUAAGGUUUUGUAGUGAGAACCCCAACGAGUAUUACCAGGCCUUUGAAGAGAACACUCCUGAUUUAGUCAUUUUCCUGUCUUAAUUUUACCCUCCCUAACUCCUUCCUCGAUUAUCUUACGUUGAUCUUCUCGAAUCUUAUCUUUUCUCUUACAAGAAGCUCCAACCACAUUUAACAAAACAUAAAUCUUAUCAAAGAAAUCACUAACUUCAAAAUGUUUUUUAGCAACUCCCACGACAACCAACUGAAGUUGAUGAGCAAAGAAGUGAACAUAAUAUGCAGAACUAUUUUCUCUUAGAAUUAAAGAUCUCAACCCAUUGAAUUCACCUUUCAUAUUGCUAGCUCCAUCAUAACCCUGUCCUCUUAGCUUUUUCAUACUUAAUCCAUGUUUUGCAAAAAAUGAAUCGAUAGCACAUUUUAGAGAUGCAGAAGAAGUUUCUUGAACAUGAAUAAUACCAGCAAAUCUUUCUUUGACUAUCCCCAUUUUAUCAACAAAACGAAAAACCACUGCCACUUGCUCUUUAGUAGAAACAUCUGCAGACUCAUCCACCAGCAAGCAAAAUACACCAUGAUCAACCUCUUGAAUAAUAUACUGAGUAACUUCUUCUGCAAAGCAAUGAGCUAGAUCUUUCUGGAUUUUAUGAGACACCAUCUUGUUAUUUUUUGGAGCAUUUUCCAAUACAACCUUACUAACAAUCUCAUUUUGAUCUGCAGUAUACUUCACAAGCUCUACAAAGUUUCCUUUAUUAGCUGACUCUGUUGAUUCAUCAUGACCUCGAAAAGGUAAUCCUUGCCGUAAUAAAUAUCUACAAGCAUCAAUUGAAGCAUUCAAUCUGAUCUUGUAUUCAUUCUUGGCUGCGUCAUUCUGCUUAUAAAAAGCCUGAACGAUCGAUUGAUUUGGUUUCAUUAGAUUGCCAGCCAUCUUUAGAGCAUUGUUGUGAAAACUAUUCACCAAUCCAACAUGCUCUCCUAAUCUCUUUGCGAUUUUUCCAAGUAUCAAAGCCUUUUGUCACAAAUUCAUCACUUCCACAUUUAUUUUCAGUAUAGUCUCUAAAUAAGUAGCAAACCAAACAAAAUGCCUUGUCUGUUUUAUACUAUAUUCCAACCAAUCACCGUAGAGAUCAAACCAAGCAGGAUAAAAUCUUCUAAGCUUAUGUCCUUUCAGUGUUUUAGGAAAAUCAUGACCGCGAGGUUGACAAGGACCUUCAGUAAGAUAUUUUUGUCUUACCUCAUCUCUUUCGUUUGGAUGAUAUUCCUUUAUACUUUUUCUCUCUGCAGGAUCUGAAGGCAAAUUCUCCAAAUCAGUUUUUGAUGCUGAUAUUGGCGGAGCAGAAGCCAAAUUCUCUGUGUUGGUUUUUGGUAGUGAAGAACUAAAAGGCAAAUUCUUUGAAUUAACUUUUGAUGAAGAUAAACAUUGUUUUUUAAAAUAAAUCUCCAUGGAUACCUAAAAAAAGUUAUGUUAGUAACUUAGUAAUUAAGGCUAAAUAAUAAUAAAAAGUAUUAACAAUGAUGUAUAAACUUACAUAGAAAAGAUGCCAAAGAAACAAUGAGAAAAAGUAUUAAAGAUGAUGAAUAAAGUUUCUGCAAAUUUUUUUUUUCAAAAGAGAAGAACGUAAAGUUUAUUUAGGAACAUUAGGGUUUUUAAAUUUUAGACUAAUAAUUAUUUAGGUUGGAUAAUUAAAAUUGUAACAAAAAUUGAUGGGCUGUCUACAUAUUUUAUUUUUAAUUGGGCUGAAGUUAAAAAACAAAUUGUAACAAGAUCCAUCUCUUUUUCUUGGUUUGAAGUAAAAAAAAAAUUGUAAAAAAAAAAAAGUAUGUGGCACGUGCCCCACCCUCUCUGGUGGUGGAUCCGCCCCUGCGCGUGACACCUGUCCCACCAUCUCAAAACUCAUCAUUUCAUUAAUAAAAAACGUCGUGGGCUUUCUGUUAAUCCUCAUAAUUGGAGCCCAAACUGAUCUAGGGUUUCUGUUCUUCUUCCAAGUCCGCUACCUAUCAAUAUUUUUUUCUGUGUUCUCACACACACCGUUAAUGGUGUUUCGAUGACUGCAAUCGAGAUGAAGAAUCUCUUCGUCUAUCUCCACUAGCGUCGAUAAGCCUUCUACUCUACUCAAACGAAACGGCAGAGUUACAGAUUCCGCGCCAUCAUCGCCUUCUUAACUCCAAAGACGGACGUGUAGCAUGAUCUUGACAUUGAUUGUAAAUUAUCCCUCUGCAAUGCGGUCUAUUUUUCACCUAAAAAAGGUUAGCUUUCUUUACUUGAACAACAUCCUCACAAUAUGUGGAAACACUAAAGGAGAGAUAACACCAGCUGGAAGAACAAGAGAGUGACAAAGAUAGAGGAAGAAGACAAUUCUUACUCGUCAUUUGCAUGGGAAAAUGACCUAUUCCUCUAUGAACUAAUUGUUCCCGGCUUUUUCACACAUGAACUUUUAAGUCAUGCCAAAAACCACAUGAACAACGAAAAAGUGGUUUGUUCCCCUAUGAACUAGUUUUUCCAGGCUUUUUAUACCAUGCCAAAAAGCAUAUGAACAACUCUAUUUUUUUAAUAACAUACACAAACUUUCGAUUUUUAAACUAAUUCCCCUAAAACCGUAAAUGGUGUUAUAUAAAUGUUAACUAGGUUUGUGACAGGUGGAGAGCCGGCUUAGUUUGGAUUGAUAAAAAAAUACUAUGUAGUUUUAUCCUUCUUCUUUUUUUUGUUAACUGUUCUUCUUUUUAAGAAAUGGUUUUACUGUUCGUCAUCAAUUGGAGAUAAAAUUUAUUAUUCUUCAGAAGAAUAAAUUGUUUUACAUGAUGCAUAAAGAAAGAAAAGCAGCAACUACUAGCUUACAAUCUCCAUAUAUUGUCACAACUGAUGAUGAAGAGUAUAAAGAUUUCUGAAAUAGAGGAAUUAACAAAAAAGAAAAAAGAAUAAAACGACAUAGUAUUUUUUUAUCAACCCAAAUUAAACCGGAUUUCCACAUGUCAUAAACCAAGUUAGCGUUUAAAUUACACCGUUACAGUUUUAGAGAAAUUAGUUUAAAAUAGACAGUUUGUGUAUGUAAUUCUAAAAAUAGAGUUGUUCAUUUGCUUUUUGGCUUGAUUUAAAAGAUCGUGUGUGAAAAAGCCAGAUAAAACUAGUUCAUAGGGGAAUAAAACAUUUUUGUGUUGUUCAUGUGGUUUUUUGCAUGGUUUAAAAGUUCGUGUGUGAAAAAGCCGGGAACAAUUAGUUUCAUAGGGGAAUAGGCCAUUUCCAAAUUGUAUCAUCCGUAUAAUUUAAGAAAAGAAGGUGAUCCAAGUUUUGGUGAAUAUAGAAGAAAGAAAAUACUCUUGACGUUUUUAAUAUGGUGAUGCAUAGAAAUGCUUUUUUGUUUUGUCAACUUGCAUAGUAAUUGAGUAGGAGAGAAUGGAAAACUUGCAAGUAAAUAUAGUUAUUAAGUAGGAGGUAAUGGAAUUUGUGCAAGUGUAUCAGAAGGUCGUCGAUGCGGUUAACACAAAAGCAGAGAAUUUCGUGAUACUGUAACUAUGUUUUUUUUUUAAAUGGUUGCUUAUAUCGGUAUGUACAUUUGAAAUGUUUUGACUGUAUGUCAAUUUGUGUUAAAGUAAAUAGAGUGGAACUAAAGUCAUAAUGCAGUGUUUACAUAAAUAGUAAAAAAAGAUAAAAAUAUAUAAUUACACUUAAAAUGAAGCAUAUUCUAAGUUAAUACAACAAAAUAAAUUGAAUAUGAACAAACUGAAAUUAUAUCAUUCACACGGAAUUUGAUUUUGAGUUAUUUUAUAUAUUUACAUUUAAGCAAACAAACACAAAAAAACUAAAUAUAUAAAUUCAGUGAAAAUGAAGCUUUGAUGAAUACUUUUUCUAUGACUACCAUAUUUGUCCGUCUUUUUAUACGAGAUGAAUAAAAAACAGUGUUCAGACAAUUAUUGACUUAAGCCCGAUAAAAAUACAAUGGUCACAAUCAUCAAUCUCAUAAAUGUAUAGAAAUUUGAAACCCAUUUGAAUUAUAGAACAUAUCCAAAAAAAACUAAUUCAAAACAAUGCAGGAAAAUUAGUGUUCUAAUAACACCAUCAAGAAGAUUUACUUUCAUUAUUCCCGUGAUAUUAUUAAAAUUUUAAGAGAAACAAUUGUACUAUAAAAAAAGUUCUACACCAAAAUAGAGAAAGAGGUAAGCGGAAUACGACAAAAAAAAAGAUCAAACUACAUUCCCUAUCUUUAGUGUCUACUACGUCUUGUAUUGUAUUUUUAUAAUGAUCUACAGUAUAUCUUGCUAGCUGCAAUAAAUUUAUGUCUGGUUUCGAGUUGGGUCUUUUCGGGUCUCGAUGAGUUCGGUUCUAAUGUAUAGAAGAAACCUCAAAGUAUUUAAAUAACCAAUGUAUCUAAAAUAGGUUUAGAUAUUUGUACCAAAAUAACCAUAUUACUUGAUUUAAUUCGGAUCUUUUGAAUACAAUUUGUUAUACGCCGAUACAUCUAAAAUAUAUAACACCAGUUAUGAAUACAAAUAUCAAUGUAUAAAAACGUAAGAACCAAUAUCAGAACGGCCACGCGGACCAAGCUCUAGUAUAUUAUUAUUAGCUAAUUAAAAUGCCUAGAAAACUUGAAAUAUGUAUCUUUUGACACAAACUUUUCUAAAAACACAUAUCUUUCUGAAACAAAAGAGUUAACUCAAAACAUAUAUCUUAUGAUUACAACUGGUUUUUCAAAAAAAACUUAUAUCUAUUUAAAGUUAACACAUAUUUAAAAUUUAAGCAUAUACUUUAUACAAAUAUAUUAUUGUUAGGUCCUCUUAGAUGAAGAACCUGUGAUUGUGAUGCUCUUACGUUUUAUUAACAGCUUUAGAAUUGCUGAUGAAGCACGUUUGUUGAUGUUUCAUUGUUUCCUUCAUUUUUUCAACUAUCUCUAUCUCUUGAUUGAUUUGUAACUCCACUAGCUCAUCCAAUAAAUUUGUUUGCCAGACUCUAUUACUGAAACAUGGAAACUGUAUGGGACAAAGCUCGGAAGAAUAAGGAGAAAUGCAGCACCUGCAAGCACUUCCCGAAGAUUUUUAGAUUAGACGCAUUGACGAUUUUGAUACUUUCUUGUGAUUUUUUUCAUCACGUUAACAUCAAGAUUUUUUUUUUUUUUGAAAAAAAAGAGAGCAAUAACCCAGACUUGCCUAGUACUAAAGCUUGGAUCUGCCGUUUGAAUAGAGUAGUGGCUUUUCGAAAGUAAAACACCGUGUAGCACCCUUCCAUCAAUGAUGGUUUCUAUAGUGCAACCUAAAGCGACGUUCUCACUAACCAUGACUUGAAAAAUCGAUUUCAUUGAUCAAUCUAGCCUAUGCUCAAAGGGAUAUUAUCUUUUUCUUGAAAUAAAACUAUAAACAACAACUGGGUGAUUCCAAUUCAGUCUUAAGAGUUCCGUGUUAACACACUUUGAUCAAGGCUAGCUCUGGCAACACUGACGUGACCAGAUCGAGGUUCUUCCCUGAAGUUUCCAAUUUCUUCCAUACAAACCUAUAUGGAAAACAUGACCAGAAACUAUAUGAAGACAUAGACAUGCACACGUUAAAGAAGAUGUGACUCAAGAUUGCUUUUCGGACCUGUAUCAAGGAUGUGAACAGAGGAAAGGUAAUAGUUAUCAAAUAUGAACACUGCAGGAAAGAUAAUAGUUAUCAAUAUGAACACCAGAGGUUUCAUGUAAAGCGAGUUUAUUGAAACAACCUGUCAACAAGAAAGACAUAGACUUUUAAUAAUUUGAGUUCUAUAUUCAAGCAGAUCCAAUACCAUAAAAGCUUAACGAAAAAACACCAAAUAAAUGCAAUAAGAGGCGCCCUCGUAACCAUACCUGAGUGCAAAGAACUUGGAAACCAUUGGAAUCUACCAUCUCCCUCCCACUUACAUCUCUUUUAUCAAAUGCUUGAACUAUCUUUACUUCCACUUUAAUGAUCAGUUUGUUCAUCUAAAAAAAAACCAUUUUCAUGAACCUUUUUGAGAGGCUCAGCCGUUGGCCUUCCCCAUGAUAGAGCAUGAACGAAGACUAAUUGGGCACGAAUCUGUAAAACCUAGGUAAGAAAAAUUAAUUUAAACAAUCAGAUAUAUAAGAUAUUUACCAUGUGUUCUUAGGAUUUUUUUUGCUGAUUGGUUAAACCAAACAAAGGCAAGAAUAGCGCAUCAAGACAGGUUUUGUAAGAUUACAUACCUUUGCAGAUGUAGUUCGGAGAAAGUAACCUUUGCAGAUGUAGGAUCAAUAUAAUUGAAGAAAGAAAAUAUGAACAUAAAUCCAAAAGGUCAAAAAGAGCCAAUAAACUAAACCAAAUAUAUGAAAAGAUACAUAAUCUCGCCACCAUCAUCUUCGGCAACCUUGUUGUCGGACACAUCCCGUCACUGCCGCUAAAAAGCCUACAGUAUCUAUCUCUAGCCGAGAACAAAUUCACGGGCGAGAUCCCAGAGCUCAUCUCCGGAGCUUGUGAUUCUAAGAGUUUUGCUCGAAAAAAAAAUAAUUUGAUGGUUUAUAGAUGAUCCAAGAAGAUGCAAUAUACAUACAGUUACAAUAAAGAAGGGAAUUCAGAACGUCGCAGAAACAAUUAAACAGAUGGAAUGAGAUGAGACGAAGGAGGAAGCGAAAAGACCAUAAGUUGUAUACUUUACUGCGAUAAAAACUGAAGAAAUAAGGAUGCUUUAGGUGUGAAGGCUGCAAUUUGUGGAAGACCUGGAAAGUGUGUCUCUUACUUUUGACUGAAAGCAAAAAUUCCGAUUAUACAAAAAAUCAAAAAAAAAAAUUAAGAAAAAAGUAAAUGUUAUUUAUAUGGGUUGAUACAAUUAUAUUUUAGGAAAAGAAUUUUAAUAAAUUUUAAUUUAAUUAAAUUUUAUCAUUUAAAUAUUCAUUCUGUACCACGAUUACUUUUAUCACCAUUCACACUUUAAAAUGGAACAUUUUUUAUUUCAACUACUCAUAUUCCGCAGUAUGUGUUCUUCUUUAUAUAACAAACCGCACUUUAGGUGUACCGUAUUAUAGUAUCCGCUUUGUAUGUACCGUUCCAUUCAAUUCAUUGUUAUCAUUCAAAACAUUAAUACAUAGUUUUGGUUGAUUGUUAUAAGUGUAGCACGAUGAUCUAAAUAACAAAUAUUGUGAGAAAGAACUGAAGUUUUUUGAUUAAAUGAUGUAGUUUUGGUUUUUACAAUGAAUCAAAAUUCAUUGUUAUAGCUCUUGUUUCUCUCUCCAAAAAAAACUCAUUUUGAGUAGAAUGAAUCUAUCUUCUAUGUGUUUCUGAAGGCCAUCAGUCCGUAAAAUAGUUCUUGGAUCUUAUCAAAUAGAGCAGACUCAGUUGUAGUAAUAUGCAAAUUAAAACUUGAGCCAAGCCGAGUGGGGUGGCUAAACCCACGUCAAACAAUAAUCAUCCUUAGUUGGUCUUAAACUCACAAUCAAUCUUAUACUAUGUCUAGCUUACCUUUUUGGGGUUUUUUAACAUUACUUUUUAAUAAUCAUCCAAAUAGGGAAAUGCAAUGAUCAAAAACUAUCCAACUACACAUCCAAAUGAUAUAUAGCCAAGCCGCGUAACUGCAGCUCAGGACAUGAUAUAUUUGGUCAUCAUAUACUAGAAGUUCACCUAGAAGAGAGUCCGAAAACUAUGAUUCCUCUUUAUCCAUUACAACCUCCAUCAGCACUAAAGUACAUAGAAUCUAAGGAAAAAAGACGUUAUGAGAGAUCUAUUCAUGUUAAACCUUCUUCGGUCACUACUGCUCUUUCCCAUACAUAUGGAGAACUUUGAAUCAAAGCAGAGGAUGCCAAGUCCAACAAAUCAAACUUGAAACCCCAAGAUACUAUGGAAUAAUUCAUGAAUAAUGGAUUGAGAGUAGCAUAAAAAACUACAAGGGGGAGACCGUGUAACCAUCGAAUAGCCUUGUUCCCUAUUAACAAAUAUAAACCAAAGAAACUAUGUCACUCGACACAUCGGAAAAUCAUGAUUGUGAUUUUUCUUCCCUCAAUGUAGCACCAGCGAGGAGAAAUUCCAGCACCAGCAAUGGAGCCGAUCACCGGAUGAAAUAGUAUAGCUUUAUGUUUCAAAAAAUCAUUUUUAGAUGAGAGAGAAAAAGUUUUUUUUUUGUCUAGUUCCCAAAAAUGGGCAUAUUCUUAACUGAAUAAAGUGUUUGAAUGGAAAGUGGAGAAAAGAUGGUUCUCAUGCUAAAGUGGAGCAUUCGCUUGUGAAGUUCUUAUUCAACAAAAAUAACAAAAACGUGAUGUUCUUUACUUAGGCUUCGAAUGGGAAAAGCAGAUCAAGCAUUGCAGAUCAAGAGUUGAUUAAGCGGAUCCAGCGGUUCAAUAUAAUAUAUAUAAAUAUAUGAAUAGAGAAAAUGGAUAAAAAGCGGACCAAAAUAUUGUACAAAUUUAAAAUAAUUUAUAUAAAUUUUCUUUUAAUAUUUAUUUAUCACAAUUAAAAUAAAUUCCUUAAAAAUAAUAUAUAAAUACAAUAAAAAUAUUCUGAAUAUAAAAAAAAAAAUUUAAACAUAUAUAUAUAUAUAUAUCUAAUGUUGAAUGAUUUAUAAUUUUUAGUAGGAUAGUUUAAGAUAAUGGAGCUUUAAUAUUAACUAACACAUCAAUUUUAAAAUUAUUAUUUGGAAAGAAAGUAUAAGAGAUCCUUAAAAUCAUAAAUAUAUUAAAAAUUGGAAACAAUAUUUAAAAUUAUAAGAGAUGUCCCCCUUUAUUAAAGUAUAAAGUAUAUGAUCUUUUUAUCUUUAUUAGUUUAUAGAAUGACCAACAAGUUUAGAAAAAAAUAUAUUUUAAAUAAUAAAACAUGUAUAAAACAAAAAAUAUAAUAUUGUAAAUAUAAAGUCAAUUAAAAAAUAAUAGAAAAAAUGAUUGUCUACACACCAAAUAAGGAAUGAUUUUAAUGUUAAAAGCAACAUAUUAAUAAUUAUUCAAUAUCUGAUACACUAAUGGAUCAAAAAUUCCUAUAUUACUUUAGUAAAUAAAACAUCACAUUUUUGUUAGUUUUGUUAAACUGGAACUUCACACGCGGAGAUGCUACAUGAAAAUCAUUAUUUCUCCACUUUCCAUUCAAACACUAAGGUGAUAGUAGAAAUUUUGGAUCAAAUUAUUGAAAAAAAUGUGAAUACACUGCUUUUAGCAGUAAAAUCACUCCUUAUUUGGAGUGUAAUUAGACAUUCAGUUUUCUUUCUUUUUGAUGAAAUGUGAAAUUUAUUGAUCAUGUAGAAAAAAUAGGGAUUUACAAAGGCCUAUAGGAUCUAGAAAUUUACAAAACUGUAAAGAAUAUUUUUAGAGUUCUAUGUGUUAUGCUGAAACCUCAAACCAUCACCACAUCAAGCUAGUAAGCUUGUGGUCAGCCUUGUAUCGCAGAGAUGUAAUCCUAUUUCGCACAGCCUUAUCUAUGAUCCGAUACAGCUGAUCAACUGUCUGGAAACCAGUGUGAGGCCAUCUUUCGUUCCUCUCCUUCCAUAAGUGAUAUAUACAGCUCUGAAAUGCCAUUUUAAGCAGAAUCUUGUCCAUGAUCUGAAGUGAAUUCACACUCACGAACUGCAAUGUGCUUGUCCAGUCAGGAUCGGUCCGAGCGCCACUCAGUCUGUUUGUAACUCUCUCCCAGACUGUGAAAGAAUAUGGGCAUGCGAAGAAUACAUGAUCCCAAGUCUCAUCUAUCUCCACACACAAUACACAUGACUGCUGGACACCCCAAGCCCUCAUUCUAUCACCUGUUGAGAGUCGAUUCCGCACUGCCAACCACACAAUAAAUGAAAAGCGGGGAACAGCUUGCGAGAAUCACACAGUUUUACUCCAGAAUACAGUAGCCUUUCGGUUCCUAAUUUGCUCCCAAGUCUUUAAGGAAGAGAAACAAGACUUGUUAUCGUUUUCUGAGUGGCGCCACAGCACCAUAUCACUACCAUGACAGUCGAGAGGGACUUGUCCAGCUUGUAUGCGAUCAUAAAGAGCGUGAAAGUAACGGCUUCGAUGCCCCUGAACGUUCCAAGUGGAGUGCAAAACCGCAUCACUCACCCGCGCAUUGCGAGCUACUCCCAGAUGACAAGUACCAACAGGUCCCGUAAUGUCAAUAAGCUUUCCUAUUCCAAGCCAAAUAUCAAACCAAAAGUAAGCAGUGUGUCCAUCAGUAUGACAUUCAGUUUUCUUUUUCUUAUUAUUAGUUUUAUCUUUACAAUUAUAAACUUUUUGUUUUAUACAUAUUUUAUUAAUUAAACUAUAAUUAUUUACUAAAUUUUUUGGUCAGUCUAUAAACUAAUAAAGAAAAACAGAUGAAAUAUUUUAUACUUUUAUAAAAACAUCUCUUAUAUUUUAUAACCUUUUUAGAAUUUUUUAUAUAGUAAUGAUUUUAACGGCCUCUUAUAUCUGACAAAAAAAAAUUAAUGAUCUCUAUUAUUUUCAAAAUAAUAAUUUUAAAUUUGAUGUGUUUUUAACUAUUAAAAUUUCAUUAUCUUAGGGGGUGUUAUUCAAUCACUGAUUUAAAAUCAAUUGUCAAGUUUUGUAAUCAAUUAAAAUUUUAAAUUUAAACAUAGUUUUUAGUUAAUGAAUUCUAAAAUCUAUGCAUUAUACUCUAGAUUUUUAUUUCAAUCAUUUGCACCACAAAUUAUUUGAAAUCCAUUUUAAACACAAGAACUUUUAAAUCCUUUGAACUUGAAUAACACUAGAUUUUAAAGAGUGAAUUUAAAUCAUUCAUUGAAUAACACCAUAUUUUAAAUUAGAUUUAUAAAUACCAUCCCCAAUAACACUAGAUUUUAAAAUAGAAUUUAGAAUCAUCAUUCAAAUAACGGUGGAUUUUAUUUAGAUUUAAACUCUAUUGAAAUAGAUGAUUGAAUAACAUUACUUUAAACUAUUCUGCCAAAAUUAUAAUUAUUUUAAAUCAUUCAAAAUACUAUAGCAAUGUGAUUAUAUUCAUGGAAAAUAAAAUACUCUCCAACAAUGAAACACUUUCGUUGAUAGAUUAUCUCGUUGUUUACAAGUAAGAAGAAACCUCAAAUCUCGAGGGAUAAACAGUGAUCUUCAAUGCGAAAGAUGUGGUGUAGACGAAAAGCGAUAAACUAUGUCUUUUUUGAAUGUAUUCUAGCUGUUCAAGUCUGGGCACUAUCAAAGAUCCUCACAAAUCAAGAUAGCUUUCAUAUGAAUUUGUUUUAUGAAUAUAAAUUAUUCAUUUUGGAGUAUUACAACAUUCAUACAAAAUUCUCAAUUUGCUUGGAUUCUUUGAUAUAUUUGGAACUAGUGGUUGGUCCUCCCUACGGGCGGGGUGUAUAAUUUUAAGAAAAUAUUUUAAAUGCUUUAUAAAAUUUAAAAAUAUUUUUUCAGUUUCGAAUAUUUUUUUAAAAUGGUCCAUAAAAUAUUUUCCUAAAAUAUUCUAUAUUGAAAACAAUAUUAUAAACUAACAAAUAAUAAACAGAGUAGAAUAUAUGUUUGUAUCAGUUCCUAAUUAUAUUUUAUAUGAUAUUAUCAGGUGUGGCAUUUUGAUGUUCUUUAUUUUAUUGUGAGGAACACAUUUAGUUCAUAUCAUUUUGUUAUGUAGUAAAAGAUGGUUUAUUUAUUUAUGGUUUCGUGAUCGAAAAAUGAAAGAUUAUGUGUAAAGUAGGACAAUUUACGGUGCGGCGUCUAUUCGAAGAAGUAAAUUAGUAUUUUGUUUUAUGAAAGCUUGUAUUUAUGCAUUAGUGUC